CCACAGAUGUUCCAAGAAAGAUGGUGGGGAUAACAGUAAGCAGAAUUUGGCAUCUGUUGAGAAACUUUGUUUGAGAAGAGAGCUGUUUGCAAGACUCAAGUUUACAGGGAAAGGUGUGAACCUCAUAGACACAUCAUUGUAGACAUGUCCAAGGCCAUGGAUUGUUAUCCAGAAGGUGUCCAGUAUCCUUUGUCUGUUGAGCUGGCAAUGGGAAAUAGGUGGGGUAUAGCAACUACAGAAACUACCUGGCUUUGUCCCCUGGAGUGUAUCCUGCAGAGCAUUCAGGGCUUGACUUCACCAGAAAUGCUCGGCGAAGCAGUGGAACUGAGACAGAAGCUCGGAGCUGCCAGGUCACCUUGGGCAACCUUCUCAAACCAGGGACCUUUCUUCCCUUGCCAGCCUUAGCGGGUGUGGCUGCCUGAGAAGUACUUCACUCCCUGUUACGCCACAGCUAAUGAUUUGCAUGCGAGGUUGAAAUAUUAUAUUGGAAUUUACUGUUUGAUCUUUUUGAGCUUGGAUGAAAUAAAUGACUCAUUGUUCAGUUCUAAUUAUUUUGU
rnacentral:lncRNA from 1 species